UACAGAGGUCUCAAGCGUUGUUCGGAUUCAUUGGGCGUAAAGGGUGCGUAGGUGGCGGGGCAAGUCAGGUGUGAAAUCUCGAGGCUCAACCUCGAAACUGCACUUGAUACUGCCUUGCUUGAGUACUGGAGAGGAGAUUGGAAUUUACGGUGUAGCAGUGAAAUGCGUAGAUAUCGUAAGGAAGACCAGUGGCGAAGGCGAAUCUCUGGACAGUAACUGACACUGAGGCACGAAGGCCAGGGGAGCAAACGGG
rnacentral:rRNA from 1 species